rnacentral:rRNA from 1 species
GACGAACGCUGGCGGCGUGCCUAACACAUGCAAGUCGAACGGAAAGGCCCUGCUUUUGUGGGGUGCUCGAGUGGCGAACGGGUGAGUAACACGUGAGUAACCUGCCCUUGACUUUGGGAUAACUUCAGGAAACUGGGGCUAAUACCGGAUAGGAGCUCCUGCUGCGCGGUGGGGGUUGGAAAGUUUCGGCGUUUGGGGAUGGACUCGCGGCUUAUCAGCUUGUUUGUGGAGUAGUGGCUUACCAAGGUUUUGACGGGUAGCCGGCCUGAGAGGGGGACCGGCGACAUUGGGACUGAGAUACGGCCCAGACUCCUACGGGAGGCAGCAGUGGGGAAUAUUGCACAAUGGGCGGAAGCCUGAUGCGGCGGCGCCGCGUGCGGGAUGACGGCCUUCGGGUUGUGAACCGCUUUCGCCUGUGACGAAGCGUGAGUGACGGUAAUGGGUAAAGAAGCACCGGCUAACUACGUG